rnacentral:rRNA from 1 species
CUAGCGGCGUGCUUAACACAUGCAAGUCGAGCGGUAAGGCCCUUCGGGGUACACGAGCGGCGAACGGGUGAGUAACACGUGGGUGAUCUGCCUUGCACUUCGGGAUAAGCCUGGGAAACUGGGUCUAAUACCGGAUAUGACCUUUGGUUGCAUGACUGAGGGUGGAAAGAUUUAUCGGUGCGAGAUGGGCCCGCGGCCUAUCAGCUUGUUGGUGAGGUAACGGCUCACCAAGGCGACGACGGGUAGCCGACCUGAGAGGGUGACCGGCCACACUGGGACUGAGACACGGCCCAGACUCCUACGGGAGGCAGCAGUGGGGAAUAUUGCACAAUGGGCGAAAGCCUGAUGCAGCGACGCCGCGUGCGGGAUGACGGCCUUCGGGUUGUAAACCGCUUUUGACAGGGACGAAGCGCAAGUGACUGUACCUGUAGAAUAAGGACCGGCCAACUACGUGCCAGCAGCCGCGGUAAUACGUAGGGUCCGAGCGUUGUCCGGAAUUACUGGGCGUAAAGAGCUUGUAGGCGGUUCGUCGCGUCGUUUGUGAAAACUUGGGGCUCAACCUUAAGCUUGCAGGCGAUACGGGCGGACUAGAGUACUUCAGGGGAGACUGGAAUUCCUGGUGUAGCGGUGAAAUGCGCAGAUAUCAGGAGGAACACCGGUGGCGAAGGCGGGUCUCUGGGAAGUAACUGACGCUGAGAAGCGAAAGCAUGGGUAGCAAACAGGAUUAGAUACCCUGGUAGUCCAUGCCGUAAACGGUGGGUACUAGGUGUGGGGCUCCUUCCACGGACUCCGUGCCGUAGCUAACGCAUUAAGUACCCCGCCUGGGGAGUACGGCCGCAAGGCUAAAACUCAAAGAAAUUGACGGGGGCCCGCACAAGCGGCGGAGCAUGUGGAUUAAUUCGAUGCAACGCGAAGAACCUUACCUGGGUUUGACAUACACCAGAAACACGUAGAGAUACGUGC